rnacentral:rRNA from 1 species
AAACUGAGGAUAAUACCGGAUAGGCAAUUAUUCCUGUAAUGGUUUUUUGUUUAAAUGUUUUUUCGCCUAAGGAUGGGUCUGCGGCCGAUUAGGUAGUUGGUUAGGUAAUGGCUUACCAAGCCGUUGAUCGGUACGGGUUGUGAGAGCAAGAGCCCGGAGAUGGAACCUGAGACAAGGUUCCAGGCCCUACGGGGUGCAGCAGGCGCGAAACCUCCGCAAUGUGAGAAAUCGCGACGGGGGGAUCCCAAGUGCCAUUCUUAACGGGAUGGCUUUUCAUUAGUGUAAAAAGCUUUUGGAAUAAGAGCUGGGCAAGACCGGUGCCAGCCGCCGCGGUAACACCGGCAGCUCUAGUGGUAGCAAUUUUUAUUGGGCCUAAAGCGUCCGUAGCCGGUUUAAUAAGUCUCUGGUGAAAUCCUGUAGCUUAACUGUGGGAAUUGCUGGAGAUACUAUUAGACUUGAGACCGGGAGAGGUUAGAGGUACUCCCAGGGUAGAGGUGAAAUUCUGUAA